UAGGGAAUUUUCGGCAAUGGGGGGAACCCUGACCGAGCAACGCCGCGUGAGUGAAGAAGGUUUUCGGAUCGUAAAGCUCUGUUGUUAAGGAAGAACGAGUGUGAGAAUGGAAAGUUCAUGCUGUGACGGUACUUAACCAGAAAGGGACGGCUAACUACGUGCCAGCAGCCGCGGUAAUACGUAGGUCCCGAGCGUUGUCCGGAUUUAUUGGGCGUAAAGCGAGCGCAGGCGGUUAGAAAAGUCUGAAGUGAAAGGCAGUGGCUCAACCAUUGUAGGCUUUGGAAACUGUUUAACUUGAGUGCAGAAGGGGAGAGUGGAAUUCCAUGUGUAGCGGUGAAAUGCGUAGAUAUAUGGAGGAACACCGGUGGCGAAAGCGGCUCUCUGGUCUGUAACUGACGCUGAGGCUCGAAAGCGUGGGGAGCGAACAGG
rnacentral:rRNA from 2 species